rnacentral:rRNA from 1 species
AUGGAAGCUCACAUCACCAUGGGACGCAUUGGAGAAGUUUACAACAGGGAGCUUAAGGACACUAUUUACCAAAUAUGUGGGCGCCGAGACGAGCAAUGGGAAGUAAUCAACACCAGGAAGGAUAGAUCCAUUGCAGCUUUCAUCCAGGAGUUAAACCAGCACAUUCGACGUCAGGAGAACCAGAUGUGUGCGGACAUGAUGGACUUGAAGAAGGCGAAGACUAGGAUCAUCGAGCUAGAGGAAGAACUCAAGUCUACCCGUGAUGGAUAUGAGGAGGAAAUCAAGACACUACUGGACAAGAAUGACGACCUAGUCAAGAAGAUCGGAGUAUUCAUGGGAGGACCAGCACCAAUAGGAGAAGAAGAAGAACCCAAGGAAAUACGCCCCGAGGACUACAUCAUCAUCGACGACAGUGACUUCAACCCUAGUGAUGAUGACUUUGAAGACGAAGCUGGAGCAGACAUCAUGGAGUCUUCCAUCGAUCAAAAUUUCCAAAUGACUACCAUAUAUCACUAG